rnacentral:rRNA from 1 species
UACAGAGGGGGCAAGCGUUGUUCGGAAUUACUGGGCGUAAAGGGCGCGUAGGCGGCCUUCUAAGUCGAACGUGAAAUCCCCGGGCUCAACCCGGGAACUGCGUCCGAUACUGGCAGGCUUGAAUCCGGGAGAGGGAUGCGGAAUUCCAGGUGUAGCGGUGAAAUGCGUAGAUAUCUGGAGGAACACCGGUGGCGAAGGCGGCAUCCUGGACCAACACUGACACUGAGGAGCGAAAGCCAGGGGAGCAAACGGG